CUCGGCAGCGUGGGAGAGACCUCCCUCACCGGAGGCGCCGAAGGCGCAACUUCCGCCCGGAAACGCUCAGGCAAAAGGACCGCGCUGCCCGA
rnacentral:ncRNA from 2 species